rnacentral:rRNA from 1 species
AAUAGAUACCCGGGUAGUCCACGCCGUAAACGAUGGAUGCUAGCCGUCGGGGAGCUUGCUCUUCGGUGGCGCAGCUAACGCAUUAAGCAUCCCGCCUGGGGAGUACGGUCGCAAGAUUAAAACUCAAAGGAAGUUGACGGGGGCCCGCACAAGCGGUGGAGCAUGUGGUUUAAUUCGAAGCAACGCGCAGAACCUUACCAGCUCUUGACAUGUCUCGUAUGGGUACCGGAGACGGUAUCCUUCAGUUCGGCUGGCGAGAACACAGGUGCUGCAUGGCUGUCGUCAGCUCGUGUCAUGAGAUGUUGGGUUAAGUCCCGCAACGAGCGCAACCCUCGCCUCUAGUUGCCAUCAUUCAGUUGGGCACUCUAGAGGGACUGCCGGUGAUAAGCCGAGAGGAAGGUGGGAUGACGUCAAGUCCUCAUGGCCCUUACGGGCUGGGCUACACACGUGCUACAAUGGCGGUGACAAUGGGCAGCGAAGGGGCGACCCGGAGCUAAUCUCAAAAAGCCGUCUCAGUUC